rnacentral:misc_RNA from 1 species
CGCCAAAGCACAAAGCAGGCACACAAACAAUUCUAUCUUUCUGUCUCUCUCAGCGGUUAUAGGUUUGCGAUUCUUCGUUUUCAUCACCGAAUCAACGGAGAAUUGGACGAUCUCAGUUCCAAUAUCUUCUUCUCAGAUCCACCCAAACAAGGAGAAAUCUCGAUCUGAUCUUCCUACUUCAUCUUACCAGAUUUCGUUUCUCUAUCCAUCCAGGAAACAAUUUAACCAGAAACAGCUUCUAUGGGAACAGAGGAGAUUAAGAAGGAUAUGGAUGUGAGCGAGUGGUUUUCACAGCUGACCUAUGACCAGUGGAUAGCAAUACCUGCUUCUGGUGCACGACCUUCAGCUCGCUAUAAGCAUGCUGCAGCAGUUGCUGAUGAAAAGCUGUACAUCUCUGGUGGGAGUCGCAAUGGUCGGUACCUAUCUGAUGUUCAGGUAUUUGAUUUUAGAAGUUCAGCAUGGUCUAGUCUAAAACUCAAAUCUGAGCUGAAAGCUGAUAAAGCUGAAGAUAACUCUCAGGAAGUUCUUCCAGCCACCUCAGAUCACAGUAUGGUUAAGUGGGGAAACAAACUACUACUUCUUGGUGGGCAUUCCAAGAAAUCUUCUGAUAGUAUGACAGUGCGGUUCAUUGAUCUGGAAACACACCUCUGUGGUGUCAUUGAAACAUCAGGAAAUGCUCCGGUAGCUCGAGGGGGCCAUUCUGCUACUUUGGUUGGUUCUAGGCUGAUAAUUUUUGGUGGAGAAAAUAGUAGCAGGAGAUUGCUUAAUGAUCUUUAUGCUCUUGAUUUGGAAAAAAUGACUUGGGAUGUAUUAGAGACAACGCAGACACCUCCAGCUCCCAGAUUUGAUCACACAGCCACGCUACAUGCAGGACGCUACCUUCUAAUAUUUGGUGGUUGUUCUCAUUCCAUCUUUUUCAAUGAUCUCCAUGUACUAGACUUGCAAACUAUGGAGUGGUCCCAACCAGAAAUUCAAGGCCAUUUGGUAGCCCCUAGGGCUGGUCAUGCCGGUAUAGCCAUUGAUGAAAACUGGUAUAUUGUUGGUGGUGGAGAUAACAAAAAUGGAUGCCCAGAAACCCUUGUAUUGAAUAUGUCUAAGCUAGCAUGGUCAGCGUUGACAAGUGUAAAGGGAAGGGAUCCUCUUGCUAGUGAGGGACUCAGUGUUUGCUCAACAUCAAUUGAUGGAGAGAAGCAUUUGGUUGCCUUUGGUGGCUAUAACGGGAAAUAUAACAAUGAGGUUUUUGUUAUGAGACUCAAACCAAGAGACAUGCUCCGCCCCAAGAUUUUUCAGUCACCAGCGGCAGCUGCAGCAGCAGCUUCUGUUACUGCUGCAUAUGCCUUGGCCAAAUCUGAAAAGUUGGAUUUCUCCAACAUGAAUUUCAACUCGAGAGGCGUUGAAAGCAGUCCUUCUGAGCAAGAUUUAACAAUUGAAAUUGAUGCAAUUAAAGAAGACAAAAAGGUGUUGGAACUGUCACUUGCAGAAGUGAGAGCAGAAAAUUCUCGGCUCAGGGAAAAGAUUGAUGAAGUUAACAGUACUCAUUCGGAAUUGUCCAAGGAACUUCAUUCUGUCCAAGGUCAACUGGUAGCUGAGAGAUCAAGAUGCUUUAAACUGGAGGCACAAAUAGCUGAAUUACAGAAGAUGCUAGAAUCACUGCAGUCCAUAGAGAAUGAAGUACAAAUACUUAGGAGACAGAAGUCUGCUAUUGAGCGGGAGAUAGAGCUUAAUGCAUCUGAACAGAGACAAGGUUCUGGGGGUGUCUGGCGGUGGUUAGCUGGGUAAAUCUACAACCCAUGAAAGAUGUGAGGUCAGUGCCUCAAAAUUGUGCAAAAGAUUAAGCCAGACAGUACGUACCUCUGUGAAACUAACCCUGUGGCCUUUUAUACGUGCCUAUAUAGGUAGGCACUUCUUUGUUGCUAUAUUUGACAGUGGUUUUGGAGAUUGUUAGGAGAUGAGUGUAUGAUGAAUAAAAGGAAUGUAGUUCGAAAUGUCAGA